AACAUAAACACGCGCACAAUAAAACAUUUUUGGAAAAAAAUAUCUAGGGUUGAAAGAGAACACAGAUUACGAAAAAUUAUCUAGAUUCCUCAACUCAAAGUCUCAAUUGUUGCAUCUAAGAGAAAGGAAGAAGAUUGAAGACUGCCUCCUGCGAGGAAGAGGCAUACCUACUGCUGUGAGGAGAAGGGGUCGGUGCUUAUCGUCCACCAGAAGGUCAUUUCUGUUGUGGGGUUCUUGAUUUAGUUCAUAUCUUACACAAUCGAAAGAGGCUUUACAGCUAUUGGUACUAGAGUCAGAAGUGAACUUUUCAGGAAGACUUUUGCAUCCUAGCCUUGUUAAACUACUAUGAUAUUGUUCGGAGGAAAAGGAACUGUUACUCGUGUAUGAAUUUAUGCCAAAGGGGAGCAUGGAAAACCAUCUUUUUAGAAAGAGUGCCACUGUUGAACCACUUUCUUGGGACUUGCAGGUCAAAAUUGCCAUAGGAACAACACAGGGCUUGACUUUUUUACGUACUUCGGAAAAGAAAGUUGUACACAAAGACUUCAAAGCAUCAAACAUACUGCUUGGUGGGAUAGGAUGUCCUCUCGCUGACACAAGUACAUCAAAUAAAUAGAAAUAUUGCUUCCUUAAAGGAGAAAUAGAGUAAUAUAUAAGGCAAUCCAAGAUACCUGAUAGGCAAUGUACCCAGGUUGAUUCCAGUAUUACCCAAUAACGCAACACGUAUUCUCUCAGAAACAAUAGUAAUAAACAUGUCAGUCUUCUUCUAGUUAGCAAAUAGUCCAGUAGUUUUAGAAAAACAUUUUAAAGCUUCCAUGACUCUACAUAUAAACCUGAGAGUAAAUAUUGUAAGUAAAUAUUGACUGGCAUGAGUCUAUCAGGGAACACUACGAGGGAUGAAGGUAAAUAUUGUAAGUUUAAAUUCACAAUGAGAUUAAUGAUCAUCACAACCUCUUCCGUA